GCAGCAUUUAACUUGAGAAAUUCAAUCUUUCCAAAGAAUUAUUGAAUUGGACUAUCACAUUUUAAUUAAAACCAAGGUUAGGCAGCUGAUCAGUUCCGCACUAACCCCGAGCAGGCCCCGCCAUGCUCUAUCACUGGAUCCAAGGCACUCAUUGGCCUAACAUGACCACGAAUCUGGUCCACAGGUUUAUAUAAAAACAAUAAUCCAAUUCUAUAAUUCAAUAACAGGUCAACGUAUAACAACAGAACAUAAACACAAUCAAUAUCAAUGAUAGAAUAAUUCCAAAUCAAACUUUGAUAAUCAACUUUUCAUAAACCAGAGUCCAUCCUUUCAUAAAUCAUAGUUCAGGAAAUCCUUAACUAUUCAGUAUCCUCCAUUAUCGGCUAAGCAACUGAAUUUAGCCUGCUAAACCAGCAUGACAAUGGCGGGUUGAAUAAUCAAGAAGAUCCCAAGUCAUUCUAGGUUCUAAUCAUCACUGAGCAACACAUGCUUCAAUGACAAUCUGAACUUCGAAUUAAUUUGUAAAACUGGAAUUAUCUGAAUUUUUGAGGAUUAGAAAAGGAUGGAUAAAAAUAUUUGCACUUGCCAAAUAUGAAAAAGAGAGGAACGAAUAUUUGCAACACAUACGAAAAGAAUGAAUCAGAAUAAUCGCAAGAUAUCCAAAAGAAGGGUAUAGGAUACUUGCCUUAAAUCUGACUCCAGUUUCAUAGCUCAACCUCAUCUUUCCACUUUCACAAUCUAUCCAUCUCAUAAUCUCUAGACCAUCUCUAGCUAUACUCUAUUCGCCACAUCGCUUCGCUUACUCGAUUCAUCCCUUAUUCGCUUUUCAAUACCAUUCCGACUUUCUGACGUCUUCGAGCGUAUACGUCUCCUCCAAAUCCUUUACGAGAAUAAGAUAAUACUAUAGUCACUAAAUAAUAUAUCGCAUAUACAUAUCACGUAUACCGAUACCCACUUAUACAACCCUUUAAACUCAUCAAAUAUCACUUAACACAUAAUCAUGCUUUGACUCUACCAUAUAGUCCAAUCAUAUUCCACAUAACAUAUUAUCAAUUAAAUAUCAUAUAAAUCUUAUCGAAAAUCCGACAUCGUCUCGUCUAUUUAUAAGACUAUCCACCUGUUAUCCUAUUUUGUCCAACAACCAAUCAACCAAUUCCAAUUCCUAUAAUCCAUAUGUCCUUAUCCAAUAUUAAUCAAAUCAUGACACUAUGUCAUAUAAGUCAUUUAUCACGUAUAUAAUAUCAGGAAUAGACAUAUAUAUCACGUAAUCAUCAAUUAAUAACAAUCCAAUAACAUAUAAUCACAUUCAGCACAUUUAACAACAAUUAUUCACAUUCUCGACUCCAUCAUAUUAUUAUGUCAUAUCAAACUAGACUUUAUAAGCUUUCAUCUCUCUUUCGUUUCACUUGAUUCCGACUUACGGAUCAAAAGUUAUGACCAAAACCGUUUUCUGACUCCGCUCUCAACAUAUAAUACCUUACACCGAUAGCAGUCAACACAUUACACAUUAAGUCUCCCAUCCCAAUUGAUGUCAAGUCAAGUCUGGGGUUAAAAAAGAUUUUUCGGGAAUUUUCCAGAAUUUUUAAACAUUUUUCGGAAUUAAAACGGAUAAAAGAAUCACUUUUUGAAUAAAUAAUCAAGUCCGGAUAUUCGAAAUUGGACUUGAAAUCAUUCAUAAACAAUUGUCGAGCCUUGAAAAUAAUUUGGAAAAAUAUUUUAAAGCUCGAAACUAUUUUUCGGAAUUUUUAAAUCAAAAAGGAUUAAUUAAAUCCAAUUAAUUAAUCAAUUAAAAUCAAUUAAUAAUUAAUUAAAAUAAUUAAUCAAUUAAUAUUUAAAUUAAUUGACCAAUUAAAAUAAUUAAUUACUAAUUAAAAUUAAUUAAUAAAUCAAAUUAGAUUUAUUUUUGAAUAAAGAAAUAAUUAAAAACUAUUUUUGAAAUUUAAAAUAAUUAAAUAAAACAAUUUUUGAAAAUUAAAAUUAAAAAGGUUUAAAGUGUCAAUGUUUAAAACUUUGUCGCAAGGUUUAAACUGCAACUUUUCAAAGUUACAGGGUUUGAAUCGUUAAAACCGAAACUAUAGUACCCAACCUUCACCAUCUUCAAAAGAUGGGUGGCCAAACGGAAAUUUUCCGCCGGCCACCACCCAACUCGCCGGAAACGACCAUACGAGCCACCACCUUCAUCCAAACUCUCCAGAAUUAAAGUAUAUACAUCCAUAAACUCGUACAAACAAUCACUUUCACCAAACCACACUUGUUUUAGCCGGAUUUUGUCCGGAAAGAGGGGCCGUCGUCGAGUUCUUCAAGAACUCCGGCGAACCCGACCCACGAAUCCCACAUACAAUUUGAACACUGAAAUCGAUUCCUUGCAACCCCUAGAACAUGCCAAUACCCUUCAAUUUUACCCAGACUUCCCCGAUUAAAAAGCCCCAAAAUCGAAUUGAAACAUUCAAGAACACUCAAGAACACCCCUCAAGAAUCAAACCCACUUUUCUAGGUGUUAUGGAACUCAAAAAUCAACAUAUAAUAUACCAAAACGACGAGAAAAACACGUUCUACAACAUGGAAUCAUCCAAACAAUCAAACAAACACGUUUACAAAAAUUCAUCAUUUAAAUCAUAUAAAUUCGAAUUUUGAAAAAUAAAUAUAAAAUCACCUGACAAAUCUGCACAUAAACGGAUGAUUGUACUAGAUUCUACGCGUCGAUAGCUUCGUUUUGACUAUUCAUACGCCUCCAUCGGAUUCAAAUAACACCUUCAAAACCUUGUUUGAUUACGAAGAACACGAAGAACGCAGCUCGGUUUCUCUCGGUAUUUGUGAACAGAAACUGGUGAAAAUGAUUUACGGUUGAAAAUAAGCUCUAGAAAGGUCUAUUUAUAUUUACAAAUAAUUGGUACCCCUUUGGAUCGUUUAUGACAUGAAAAUACGUAUUUAAUAGCUUUAUAUUAAUAAAGCAGGGUCCAAUCGGUACUGGUUUUCGAGAUAAUCAUCAAAACAGGACUUUUUAAUCAGUCAUUAGUAUGCGGGUCCCAUCGCAAUUAUUACAAGAUAAGAAUUAAUAUAAUAAUCAAAAUAUCUAGUUUCACGCUUAUCGAGACAAACUGGAUAAUUAUCAACAAUUAAAAUACCCGAAAAACUCCGCCGGACCGACUCCGGGGAAAACCGUACUCCGGAUCGAAAAAGUCAAAACACGAAAAAUGUCCGGAAUAUUCAAAUUAGGCUAAAGGUGAGUUUUGUUGAAACUUCCGGGAAGAAAAUUUGCUACCUCGUUACGAGUGGACGGUUUUACGGAAGUCAAAUAAUUAAUAAAUAAAUAUAAAUAUACGCAAUUAAAUCCGUAAAUCGAUUAUAAAAUCAUCUAACAUUCCAUAAAUCGAUAUGAAAAUAUCCAAAUAAACUAUAUUUUCUCCUGAGCAUAUAGAAAUUGAAAUCUCUCAAAUACGAACACAUAUGAGCAGUCAACUCAAUAAACCAGAUAAUACAAAAUUCACAAAAAUUCAUAUAUUAAUCAUAUAAUAUUAAUAAUUAAUCAUAACUAAUUAACAAACAAAUUCACCAAUACCACUUAAUCACAUAACACAUAUAUUCACAUAAUAUUCAUACAGAAUUUUCAAAACAAUAUAUGAAAAUCAGUUUUGAAAAUACAAUUAUUUAUCAAUAACACAAUAACCCGGGGUUUAAAUAUAAAACCUUGAAAACUCAUUAAACUGGAAUAAAAUAUUAAAUCUUAUUCCCUUCUUUGAAGAAAAUCACUUUUAAUACUAAUAAAAAUAUUUUUAAAAAUCCGGGUCAUUACAAUCUACCCUCCUUAUAGGGAUUCCGUCCUCGGAAUCAGAGAAAGAAGGAGGACGCAUAAUUAGUAUAAUCCAUAUUAAUCCACAGAACAAGUAUAAUCAUAUAAAACUAUUCACAUAAUCAAUUCACUUUUCAACUAAAGCCAACAAUAAUAUUUAGACAAAUAGAUUUAUAAUAAUCAAAUCUAAAUUUAAUAAUAUGGGAUAUUACAUUCUACCCCCCUUAUAAGGAUUCUGUCCUCAGAAUCCGCGAUGAGAACUAAAACGUAUCAUUUAUAAGAUCAUUGUACACGCUUCAUAAUAUCACAUGCUCAUCCGCCUUUGAUCAACUUUGGCAUACCUUCAAAGUUAAAGAAAUAGGAGAAUCAAAACCUUCACAAUUGCAAACUUCAUUUCCCAAGAAUCAAUCUUUGGGAAUUUCGGAGGAACAAGAUAUUUUCAAAAUAGGUCACAUUGGAAUACAAGAGUGACUGGGAGAUCAAUAAGAUCAAUUGAACUUAAUGUUGCGUGUCCAUAUUAGACACUACUAAAGGUUGUUAACCUUCUUGUAAUCACAACACACACAAGUGAUGGCGUCCCAUCCAACUCCUAUCACACAGACAGGUAUACCUUGUGUCCCCUAUACAUAGGGUUGUUCAUCCCAAUCAGAUGGAAAGAAUCCAAGAAAUCUCAAUGAGCAUCAAGGAAUGUUAAGGAUUAUCGAGGAAUAUAUUAAGGAAUAUCGAAAAGAUAUCAAAGAAUAUCAAAGAGUGUCAAAGAAUAUCAACGAAUAUUAAGGGAUAUCAAAGAAUAUGGAAGAAUAUCAAGGGAUAUCAAAGAAUAUCAAAUAAUAUCAAGGAAUUCCACUGUCUCUUCAUAAACACGCCUUUAUCAUACACCGAUUCAAUACUAACUCACACCAAUAAUCAAUAUCAUUGUCAUCAUAGAAUUCGAGAAAUUGAAGAUCUUCUUUAUCAGAACUUUUUAUAGAAUAGGUAUCAUAAUAAUAACUCGCUGAUGAGGAAAACAAUCAAAAGAAUCUUUAGUUGAAGAGAGGUAUUGCCAAGGUCUUCUCAGAUUUUCGCUCUGCUUCAAUAAAUCGUUGUUCGUCGUAUGUCUUCUUCUCCACGUUCUCGAUAAUCAAUCGAUGUUGACUCGUAAUAACCUUGUAAAAUUUCAUCGUCGACAUUAUCGUUCGUAAUAACUCUCGCCCAUGUAGUCUUCGUUUUUUUUUUUUUUCUAUUUCAUUCCAUCUGCCUUUGAAGUCCAUAGCACAGCACGUAGCAUAUCUUCGAUUAUCUGGAUCAUCAACCUGUGGGUUAUGGGCCCACCUUGAUGCCAAUUGAAAUCCCGAUUAGCUCGAAGCGUUGUCGUCGAGGACUAACGUUCUAACUUACUCGUAGACAUCAUCUCUAAUAACUGGACUCCAUUCCACGUACUCUCUAUCAUUCACUUCUCACCUAUCAACCUCUAUCUACCAAUCUCUCCUUCUAAUCCAAUACAACUCAUACUCUACACUUACUCUUCAUAUCUUCACUCAAAACAAUAUACAUCUUCCAAAUAUCUGACAUGGUCAACAUACUAUGAACCAUGCAUUUAUAUCAUCCUCAAAUCAAUACAAUAAUCCAAUUUCAAAUAUGCAGUAUAGUCAGAAUACUCUGAACUCUGCAUUUUCACCAUUCUCAACUCAAUCAUUCACUAUCAAACUCUUCUAUAUAGGUCUAAUACUGACCUUUUCCACAAUUCACCAUCUCAAUUAGUCAACAUACUAGAAAUCAUAUGUCUAAACUUAAGAAUCCUAAUCUCUUCAAAUAUCCACACUUAACUUGAUCAUCUAACUAAACUCUAUGCUUCACUCACAUCUCUAGACUAUUCCUAAAUAGUCCGACCAUACCUCUAUGUGAGGUUACACCACAUUCUUCUCUAGAAAACCUAUAACUAUGAUCUAUAUUCUAAUUUCAAAUACUUAUAACCUGUGGCUCUGAUACCAACUGUGACGGUCCGAGAAUCCGGGGGCCUGGAUUCUGACGUCACCACAUAAAAACCUUUUUAAAACACUUUCGAAAACCUGAAAAUUUUUUUUUUUUUUUUUUUAUUUUUAGAUAAUAAAAUCAGAGAAUUUAAAACCUGAAAACAUUUAAUAAAAGAUUUGAAUGAGAACAUAAAUCGAAUGAUUUCAAAACCUGAAUUUCAAACUUGAAAGCCAUAAUAGGAGAAUUUCAAGAGAACAUUUAAACUUUAAUAAAUGAUUCGAAAGAGAACAUUUAAACCCCCUAAAAGCAACAGGAUCGCAUCCAGGUUACAGUAUUGAAAUUAGAAUCUACCACUAUUAUUACACAACAUCUCUUACCAAAUCAGAUCAUCUUCGAUAAGAAGAAUCACUGUCAACUAUUCCAGCUUGCACCAACCUCAUCAACUUUCCUGAACACUCCUCGACCACUGGAUCCUCAACUCUGUCUCCUCGCCUAGCAUUAGCCUUAUUCACAAUCUCAAUCAAUCAUCUCAUCUUUAAGCCUUUCUGAAAUGGUUAGAAAGGAAUAGCAAGGGUGAGCAACAAUGCUCAGCAAGUAAUAAUAAACAAUGAUAGUUCUGAAAUGAUAUAACAGAAGUUCACGAGUUCAAGAUAUAAGAGGAUUCAACCUGAGUUCAUGAGUUCAUGGUAUUGUAUAGAAUGAUUUACAAUACCUUGCAGCAUUUAAACUGAGAAAUUCAAUCUUUCCAAAGAAUUAUUGAAUUGGACUAUCACAUUUUAAUUAAAACCAAGGUUAGGCAGCUGAUCAGUUCCGCACUAACCCCGAGCAGGCCCCGCCAUGCUCUAUCACUGGAUCCAAGGCACUCAUUGGCCUAACAUGACCACGAAUCUGGUCCACAGGUUUAUAUAAAAACAAUAAUCCAAUUCUAUAAUUCAAUAACAGGUCAACGUAUAACAACAGAACAUAAACACAAUCAAUAUCAAUGAUAGAAUAAUUCCAAAUCAAACUUUGAUAAUCAACUUUUCAUAAACCAGAGUCCAUCCUUCCAUAAAUCAUAGUUCAGGAAAUCCUUAACUAUUCAGUAUCCUCCAUUAUCGGCUAAGCAACUGAAUUUAGCCUGCUAAACCAGCAUGACAAUGGCGGGUUGAAUAAUCAAGAAGAUCCCAAGUCAUUCUAGGUUCUAAUCAUCACUGAGCAACACAUGCUUCAAUGACAAUCUGAACUUCGAAUUAAUUUGUAAAACUGGAAUUAUCUGAAUUUUUGAGGAUUAGAAAAGGAUGGAUAAAAAUAUUUGCACUUGCCAAAUAUGAAAAAGAGAGGAACGAAUAUUUGCAACACAUACGAAAAGAAUGAAUCAGAAUAAUCGCAAGAUAUCCAAAAGAAGGGUAUAG
rnacentral:lncRNA from 1 species